GGGGAUGUAACUUAAAUGGUAUAGCGAUCGCUUUGCAUGCAAGAGGUACGGGGUUCGAUACCUCGCAUCUUCA
rnacentral:tRNA from 1 species